UUUAGUGCGUUGAGCCACAGAGGUCUACUAAGCUGUUGACUCCUGAUCUAUAGGUCCCAGGUUCGAAUCCUGUCAGUAAAA